GUUUGAUUUUGAACACAGGUAAAACUGUUUUGAGGCGAAUGUUUCAUUUUGCGAGAGGAGUCAGAGGUUAUGUAAAUAGUGCUUGAAGAUGAGGUUUUGUGUUUAAUGUUUUCAGGAAAUGAAGCAAGGUUUCAGAAAUUGUGUUUUAGCGAUUGAGAAAAACUGUAAACCCACAGCUUGAACUGCCAUUACUCAGUGUUGAAGUCAUUACAGUUUUUCUCAGUCGCUUUGGUGCAUUUCUUAGAUCAAAAGUGCCAUUCUUGAUACUACUUGUACAAAUUCCAAAUCAUCUAGUCACUUGUGCACAUCAUUAAAGCAAUUUCUUAUUCCUUUGAA